CCAAGCGGUCUAUGUGCGAUCACCGUCCAGGAAGCACCGAAAACCUGCAGAAACAACAGUGGCGUGAGCUGCAUGUCGGCAAGCUGCAUGUCAGCAAGCA
rnacentral:lncRNA from 1 species